rnacentral:rRNA from 1 species
UACGGAGGAUGCGAGCGUUAUCCGGAUUUAUUGGGUUUAAAGGGUGCGUAGGCGGAUCGUUAAGUCAGUGGUCAAAUUGAGGGGCUCAACCCCUUCCCGCCAUUGAAACUGGCGCUCUUGAGUGGAAGAGAAGUAUGCGGAAUGCGUGGUGUAGCGGUGAAAUGCAUAGAUAUCACGCAGAGCCCCGAUUGCGAAGGCAGCAUGCCGGCUUCCGACUGACGCUGAAGCACGAAAGCGUGGGGAUCGAACAGG